CAGUCGCCGCGGGAAUACGUAGGGUGCAAGCGUUAAUCGGAAUUACUGGGCGUAAAGCGUGCGCAGGCGGUUAUAUAAGACAGAUGUGAAAUCCCCGGGCUCAACCUGGGAACUGCAUUUGUGACUGUAUAGCUAGAGUACGGCAGAGGGGGAUGGAAUUCCGCGUGUAGCAGUGAAAUGCGUAGAUAUGCGGAGGAACACCGAUGGCUAAGGCAAUCCCCUGGGCCUGUACUGACGCUCAUGCACGAAAGCGUGGGGAGCAAACAGGAUUAGAUACCCCAGUAGUCCCUGUCUCUUAUAA
rnacentral:rRNA from 1 species